CCAAACGUGAACACUCCUUAGACUUGUCUGUGUCCUGUGGGCUUCGAGCAGCCUGGAUCCACUCAGAUCUUACAGUAUAAGGCUGUGCCAGGUUUUGGUGCCUAAAAUUUUUAUAAGUUCCAGCUUAGUCAUAGCUCUGUUAUGUGCUUUGGAGAAUUAAGGAGACAGUUGAGUCCACUGUGGGCCCUGAACAGUUUUGGAGGAGUGUCCCACAGGAAUGAAUGUGGGACAACAGUGUCAUGACAACAGUGUCACCCCCAAGAAGAGGAAUCCUGAGGACAAGUCGGCCAGGAAGCCUGUCUGUCUCUGAAGCAUGAAGUCCGAUGGACUGAACCUGGCCAGAGAGCUCACCUGCGUUGACUGACGUAGCAGGGAUGGAGAAAGCCAGCCCCGCCCCGCGCCUCUACCUCCCCUCUCUGACCGCAUGGAGCACUUGGUCUCCUCCUUCUCCUAAGCUGUGUUCAAGUAUUAUCCAUCUGCAGAUCAUUUUUUCCUUCUUCUUGAAGCAUAAAUGGCAU